rnacentral:pre_miRNA from 1 species
UUCUUAUUGGAUGAUGAUUGUCACGUGUCAUGUUCUGAUUGGAUGUCAACUCCAUGAAAGAUAAAAUGCAUUGUUGUUUUCAUUGAUCAAUCAGAACAUGACACAUGGAAAUCAUCAUCC